CUUUUCUCUCUCUUCCCUCAAAAAUCACUUUUCUCUCUCACCGAGAUCUCAAUUCAGCAGAACCACUUUUCCACCGUCGCACACCUUCGACCACCGUCACGCUCACACCAUCGACCACCGUUAAGCUUCACCGACGAAUUUCACACCGUCAUUCAUCCCUCUCACCCUCCACCGUCACGCAUUCUCAUUCUGUCGAGCUUCUCACGGAACUGAAUCUCACCGUCGAGCUUCAUACUUCACCGAUCGAGCUUCACGGUCGCGGAUCCAUUGAACGUCAUCAUCCAAUUUCACAGUUGCAGAUCUAAUUUCACAAAUCCUUUUUCCUCUUUCGCUCAAGCAGCUACUUGAUUUGAGCCAUUGCAAAGACAUAUCUGAAGAAGUUCCCAAACUGGAGGUGUUGGACUUGUCAUU